rnacentral:rRNA from 1 species
AGCGAACGCUAGCGGCAGGCUUAAUACAUGCAAGUCGUGGGGCAGCAUGAGUGUAGCAAUACAUUUGAUGGCGACCGGCAAACGGGUGCGGAACACGUACACAACCUUCCUAUAAGUGGGGAAUAGCCCAGAGAAAUUUGGAUUAAUACCCCGUAACAUAACGAUGUGGCAUCACAUUGUUAUUAUAGCUUCGGCGCUUAUUGAUGGGUGUGCGGCUGAUUAGAUAGUUGGUGGGGUAACGGCCCACCAAGUCUACGAUCAGUAGCUGAUGUGAGAGCAUGAUCAGCCACACGGGCACUGAGACACGGGCCCGACUCCUACGGGAGGCAGCAGUAAGGAAUAUUGGUCAAUGGACGCAAGUCUGAACCAGCCAUGCCGCGUGAAGGAUUAAGGUCCUCUGGAUUGUAAACUUCUUUUAUCUGGGACGAAAAAAGGCUUUUCUAAGUCACUUGACGGUACCAGGUGAAUAAGCACCGGCUAACUCCGUGCCAGCCGCCGCCGUAAUAC